rnacentral:sRNA from 1 species
UUAUAUCUAAAUGGGUCUAAAUGGGUAUAUGGGUUUAAAUGGACAACUCUAAUAGAUCUUAAAGUUAAAUGAGUUUAAAUGAGGUGGGUUUUAAAUGGGACGGACUUUAAAUGGGGUGGACAUGCCCAUAUUAACAUUACUACUUCUCCAUAUGCUUCAGUCUGCGCGAGAGC